AUGGUUUAUUAUGGUUCGGUGAGUCAAGACACUCAGAGAACUAAUUGCCAGCUCAGCCGCGCUCUCCCGAUAAUCCUCUCCCUCGACCGCCCCCCCUCGCACCCCUGCAGCAGGAGCGCGGUGAGGGGCUGGGGCAGGGAGGAACUGGGAGGAAACCGGCCCCAGGCUUGGCCGCAGCAACCCUGGGUCUGCGCUGGGGCGAGGGGCAUCCCCUGGCAGUGCCAACCCGGACCCCACCCCAGGCAGCAUCAGCGGCUGCGUCCCACCUACAGCCCGCACCCCCAGGAGGCACCCAGCAGGGCUGGCCCAUGUCUGCGCCCAGACUGCGAGCAGCAGGAGCCGACAGCGAGGUCACCCCGCGCCGACGCUCACCGCCACCAUCACCAGGGGCUCAACCAGAGGCAGGACCCAGCUGCAGGAGCUGCCGAAGAGCUGAGCUGCUCCCUCCUGGCUGGCAGCGAAGUGCAGGCAUGGAGGAACCUGCGAGGAGCACGCAGGGUGGCAGUGACAGCCGUCCCCACGCUCUCCGCCCCGGCGCCUGCCGGCAGCACUCAGCCCUCCCCAGGGACGCUGCCCGCUGGCACGCCAGUGGCAAACCCCCCCCUGACCCCAGCCGGCUCCCAGAGCCGCUCCACGGGCUGGGUUUGCUCCGUGCCGUUUGCCUGCACGGCCGCAGGAGGAGCGGCUGCAUCCGACAGCCAACAGCAGCCCGCGGGCGCUGCCCCGUCCCCAGGUAGCCGCGUCCCUCCUGGCCGACCUCGUGUCGCAGGCACCGACGGCCGCCGCGCGGUGCCAGGGGGCCUCCCGACCCCCGGUGCGGGUUCCCUGUUCAGGGGUCACCGGGGGACCAGAACGUCCCCGCACGCUGCCCUGCAGGCGGACAGAUGCUGUUCCAUGCCCUCACUGUGCCGUGCCCCCAGGGACACGGGGUUUCUGGCUUGUUCUAUGCAGAUUGGACCGAAAAUCGCCCUCCUGUUCCCAUCUGCCCAUUCAAAUCUAUGA
rnacentral:lncRNA from 1 species